GACGAACGCUGGCGGCGUGCCUAACACAUGCAAGUUGAGCGACGAACCAGGGCUUGCCCUGGGGCAAAGCAGCGAACGGGUGAGUAACACGUGGGUAACCUACCCCGAUAACCGGGACAACCCGAGGAAACCCGGGCUAAUACCGGAUGUGCUCACUGGACUUCGGUUCAGUGCGUAAAGGAAGCUUCGGCCUCCGUAUCGGGAGGGGCCCGCGGCCCAUUAGUUUGUUGGUGAGGUAACGGCUUACCAAGACCGCGAUGGGUAGCUGGUCUGAGAGGACGAUCAGCCACACUGGGACUGAGACACGGCCCAGACUCCUACGGGAGGCAGCAGUGGGGAAUCUUGCGCAAUGCGCGAAAGCGUGACGCAGCAACGCCGCGUGGGGGAAGAAGGCCUUCGGGUUGUAAACCCCUUUCAGGAGGGACGAAGGUUCGGCGGUGAAUAGCCGCCCGGACUGACGGUACCUCCACAAGAAGCCCCGGCUAACUACGUG
rnacentral:rRNA from 1 species